rnacentral:tRNA from 1 species
GGGGAUUUAGCUCAGUGGCAUAAGCACCUGCCUUGCAAGUAGGGCAAUCUCCA